rnacentral:rRNA from 1 species
UACGGAGGGGGCUAGCGUUGUUCGGAAUUACUGGGCGUAAAGCGCACGUAGGCGGCUUUGUAAGUUAGAGGUGAAAGCCCGGGGCUCAACCCCGGAAUUGCCUUUAAGACUGCAUCGCUAGAAUUGUGGAGAGGUAAGUGGAAUUCCGAGUGUAGAGGUGAAAUUCGUAGAUAUUCGCAAGAACACCAGUGGCGAAGGCGGCUCACUGGCCCGGUACUGACGCUGAGGUGCGAAAGCGUGGGGAGCAAACAGG